rnacentral:rRNA from 1 species
UGGGGAAUCUUGCGCAAUGCGCGAAAGCGUGACGCAGCAACACCGCGUGAGGGAAGACGGCCUUAGGGUUGUAAACCUCUUUCAGAUGGGACGAAGGUUGUCCGGUGAAUAGCCGAGAUAAUUGACGGUACCGUCAGAAGAAGCUCCGGCUAACUACGUGCCAGCAGCCGCGGUAAUACGUAGGGAGCGAGCGUUGUCCGGAAUCAUUGGGCGUAAAGAGCAUGUAGGUGGAUCAAUAAGUCUGCUGUGAAAGUCGAAGGCUCAACCUUCGAAAGCCGGUGGAUACUGUUGAUCUAGAGUACGGAAGAGGCGAGUGGAAUUCCUGGUGUAGCGGUGGAAUGCGCAGAUAUCAGGAGGAACACCAAUAGCGAAGGCAGCUCGCUGGGACGUAACUGACACUGAGAUGCGAAAGCGUGGGGAGCAAACAGG